UACAGAGGCCUCGAGCGUUAGUCGGAAUCACUGGGCUUAAAGCGUGUGUAGGCGGCUCGUUAAGUACCUUGUGAAAUCCCACGGCUCAACCGUGGAACGGCUGGGUAUACUGGCGGUCUUGGGCCAUUCAGGGGUGACUGGAACAAGCGGUGGAGCGGUGAAAUGCGUAGAUAUCGCGUGGAACGCCGAAGGUGAAAACAGGUCGCUGGGGAUGUGCCGACGCUGAGACACGAAAGCCAGGGGAGCAAACGGG
rnacentral:rRNA from 1 species